UAGUCUGGUGCCAGCAGCCGCGGUAAUACCAGCUCCAAUAGCAUAUAUUAGUGUUGUUGCGGUUAAAACGUCCGUAGUCGAAUUAAAGGCUCGUAACGCGUCUGACGCUAGGAGUUACUGGGGUGACCAUCCCCAAGGGGUAGCUUGUGUAGCCCUGCGGAGAUAUCGCCCCAUGUUACCUUGACGAAAUUGUGGUGUUCAUAGCAAGUACGGAGUACUCUAGGCACAAUAGCAUGGAAUAACAACGCAAGGACUCCGACCCGGAUUGCGCUAGCGCUCGGGAUCGGAGGAAGGAUUAAUAGGAGCAGUCGGGGGCGGUCGUAUUCCAUUGCUAGAGGUGAAAUUCGGUGACCAAUGGAGGACGAACAACAGCGAAAGCAUCCGUCCAGUAUGUUUUCAUUGAUCAGUGGACGAAAGCUAGGGGAGCGAACACGAUUAGGCACCGUGUGUAGUCCUAGCCGUAAACGAUACCGACUAGGGGUUGGUGGACGUUCUUCUCGAUAGCUCCAUCAGCACCUUAUGAGAAAUCACAAGCUUUCGGGUUCCGGGGGGAGUACGGUCGCAAGGCUGAAACUUAAAGGAAUUGGCGGAAGGGCACCACAAGGCGUGGAGCUUGCGGCUUAAUUUGACUCAACGCAGGAAAACUUACCAGGUCUGUACAUAGGGAGGAUUGACAGAUUGAUAGCUCUUUCUUGAUUCUAUGGGAGGUGGUGCAUGGCCGUUCUU
rnacentral:rRNA from 1 species